rnacentral:rRNA from 1 species
AUUGAACGCUGGCGGCAGGCCUAACACAUGCAAGUCGAGCGAGCGGCGGACGGGUGAGAAAUGUCUGGGAAACUGCCUGAUGGAGGGGGCUAACUACUGGAAACGGUAGCUAAUACCGCCUACCAUCUGAGCUCCCCAGAUGGGAUUAGCUAGUAGGUGGGGUAACGGCGCUCCUAGGCGACGAUCCCUCGCUGGUCUGAGAGGUUGUCCAUCGAAACUGGAGAUGAGACACGGUCCAGAAUCCUACGGGUGGCAGCAGUGGGGGAUAUUGCACAAUUGGCGCGAGCCUGAUGCAACCAAGCCGCGUGUGUGAAGAAAGCCUUCUGGUUGUAAAGCAGUUUAAACGAGGGAGCGUUACUCGCAGAAUAAGCACCGGCUAACUCUGUGCCAGCAGCCGCGGUAAUAC